rnacentral:rRNA from 1 species
AACGCGAAGAACCUUACCUGGUCUUGACAUCCUAGGAAUUUGCCAGAGAUGGCGAAGUGCCCGCAAGGGAGCCUAGAGACAGGUGCUGCAUGGCUGUCGUCAGCUCGUGUCGUGAGAUGUUGGGUUAAGUCCCGCAACGAGCGCAACCCUCGCCUUUAGUUGCCACGCAAGUGGAUCUCUAGAGGGACUGCCGGUGUUAAACCGGAGGAAGGUGGGGAUGACGUCAAGUCCUCAUGGCCUUUAUGACCAGGGCUACACACGUGCUACAAUGGCCGGUACAAAGCGCUGCCAACCCGCGAGGGGGAGCCAAUCGCAUAAAACCGGUCUCAGUUCAGAUCGAAGUCUGCAACUCGACUUCGUGAAGGCGGAAUCGCUAGUAAUCGUAGAUCAGCACGCUACGGUGAAUACGUUCCCGGGCCUUGUACACACCGAUAGC